GUGGGAGUUAAAAAUAGACUCUCUACUGUGAAGGGCGAAUUGAUAUGAGGGGAGUGGGGGAUGACAGUAGAAGAAAGGACAGAGAGAGGGGGAGGAAGGAACGAAUGUCUUUGAUCAAGGUGAAAGAAGGGAAGAAAAGAGAAAGAGUGGGGCGUUGGCGGAGUAUGGUGGAAUAUCACACCCAUUCAUUAGCUCAUUUACUGAAUAGGCCUGUGGACAUGGAUUCAGGUACAAGCUCUCUGUUUAGAUAGUGGAUGAGAUCUGCAUACACACACACCCACCACCCCACCUGGCAACACCUGGCAUCACCUGGCAUCUGUAAGGGCAGAACAAAUAGAACACACCUCCUCCUUCAUCUCCAUCUAUCUCUCUCCCUCUCUGUCUCAGCCAUGUACACCAACAUGCCACCUUUCCAAUCCAUUAGUAAUGUGUUGUAGCAGGUGGUGUUUGUUGUCUAAGACUAGUGGAUUUAGCCUGUCCUUUCAACAUUACGCCUUCUCAUGUAAUCUCACAGCCCGCUAAUUGAUGCUCUGUUUGGCUGCACGGGUUUUGGAAGUCAUUUGUGUGCCUCUGAGGACAUUGUUGAAUUAUUAAUUUGGGGUUGGCGAGGGGUGGGCUGGGUGAGAGGGGGCAUGGAGGGACAAAGGUGUUUGAGGAAUGGAUCUAUCAUACACAAACUCAGAGAGAAAGAGAGAAGCUGGGAGUAGAGUUGUACAAGUCUGCCUCCCACUGGUACUCUGUUGCUACUGCACCCUCUGUACUGGCUGGUCUUCUUGUGGAAUGGAUCACUCUCCUCUCCUUCCACUAGCCUGGUCAGAAAACAGUAACAAUAAUACCAUUUCAUAUUUUGCAGAUUUGAAGGAACUGGAUAUAAUACAGGUUGACUGGGAGAGUAACGGAGGCCUGGUGAAGAAGCUUUCUUCCAUUAAGGAGGAUGAGGAGGGUGAUGAAGAACAGAGCUCUGUAUCGUGUGCCCCCCGUUCCCCUUUACGUCUCACCAGGGUUCUUAACUCACCCCUGCGCUCCCCCCUGCUGCCCCCUCGGCCCUUCCGCCCCCCUCAGAACACACCCGCCC
rnacentral:lncRNA from 1 species